GCUUGUCUCAAAGAUUAAGCCAUGCAUGUCUAAGUAUAAGUAGUAUACAGCGAAACUGCGAAUGGCUCAUUAAAACAGUUAUAGUUUAUUCGAUAGUAAAAUUACAUGGAUAACCGUGGUAAAUCUAUGGCUAAUACAUGCGCAAAGGCCCGACCCUGAAGGGCUGUAUUUAUUAGAUCUAACCAUCAUUUGGUGAAUCAUAGUAACUGAUCGGACCGUGCGUUAGCGCGGUAAAUCGUUCAAGUUUCUGCCCUAUCAGCUUUCGAUGGUAGUGUAUUGGACUACCAUGGCAGUCACGGGUAACGGAGAAUUAGGGUUCGGUUCCGGAGAGGGAGCCUGAGAAACGGCUACCACAUCUAAGGAAGGCAGCAGG
rnacentral:rRNA from 1 species